AUGGCGACCCCGUGCCCCCUCCCCGCCCUCCUCCUCCUCACCCUCGCCGCGCUGUCCCUGUCCCUGUCCCCCACCCCGGCCGCGGCGGCGCGGUUCGCGUGCAACGCCACGGCGCCGCGGGCAUCCACCUGCCAGGCCCUGGUCUCCUACUCCCCGCCCAACGCCACCACCCUGGCGGCCGUCCGCGCGCUCUUCCAGCUCCGCUCGCACCGGGCGCUGCUCGCCUCCAACAACCUCCCGCCCUCCACGCCCACCACCGCCCCGGCCCCGUCCCCGGUCCGCGUCCGCCUGCCCUGCCUCUGCUCCGGCGGGGCCGGCGCCACCUUCCAGCGGCCCACGUACAAGGUCCGCGCGGGCGACACGCUCGACGCCGUGGCCCGCGGCGCCUUCGCGGGGCUCGUCACCUACCGCGACAUCGCCGCCGCCAACAACGUGUCCGACCCCAACCGGGUCGCCGUGGGGCAGGAGCUCUGGGUGCCCCUGCCCUGCAGCUGCGACCCCGUCGGGGGGGAGCCCGUCGUGCACCUCACGUACGUCGCGCCUGCCGGGAGCUCCGUCGCCGGGAUAGCGGAGGAGUACGGGACCACGGAGGAGACGAUACUGGCGCUCAACCGCAUGCCCGACGCCAAGAGCCUCCUCGCCGGCCAGGUCCUCGACGUGCCGCUCCGAGCUUGCUCUUCUGCCAUUAGCAGCUCGGCCAUCGACCGCAACCUCCGCGUCCCGAACGCGAGCUACAUCCUCACGGCCAACAACUGCAUCAUGUGCGGCUGCAGCUCCACCACUUGGCAGCUGGACUGCCAGCCGACGCAAGGGUUGACACCCUCCUGCCCGGCGGCGAAAUGCGGAGACCUGUUCCUGGGGAACACGUCGACGUCCGCGACCUCGACCUGCGAGAGCACGACGUGCUCCUACGCCGGCUACACGAACAGCUCCUCGUUCACCAUCCUCGCCAACCUCACCACCAGCUCCGUGUGCAACGCUGCUGGGAUAUCGCCGGCCGCGCAGCCGUCCCACUCCUUGGCGUCCAGAUUGGGGUCGCCGGCGCGGUGGUCGGAGCUGAUCGUCGGGCUCCAUGUCGCUCUACUGUGCCUCGGGUUUCUGCGCCGUGAUUGA
rnacentral:rRNA from 1 species